ensembl:lincRNA Gm10556 predicted gene 10556
UGCCUGUCUGUCCCACCAGAGAAGAAGCUCCCCUGGCCAAGGAUAGGGUACAUGGCCGUAGGCCUCAGCAGUGUGAGAGCAGAGCACCUGCUUCCGGCUGAGCCCCAGGCAUGAGUGGUUUCAUUCCUCCACUGCGAAAAUUGGGUAAAGGUUUGCUCUCCUGCCUAGCCUCGUCAGUAGAUCUGCAGCCUGCAGUUUCCAGGAGGACACAGCAAGGAGGCAUCAUCUGUGUUCCUAGAACAUGUCGCACAGGAUAAGAGUGCAUCAGCAUCUUGGUUUUGGAUUUCCUAGUCUCUGAAAUAUUUUAUGGAAAGAGCAAGGGCAUUGGAAAAGCUGAAACAGGAGGGUUGUAGGUUCAAGACUUAUUGUGAGACCCUGUCUUGGCAAACAAACAGACAAAAGACAAUAUGCCUCUGAUAGGAGAAAAAAGGAGAUAGGAUCCCUUCAAUGAGAAGACACCCUUCCCCCACCCCCACCCACCCCUCCCCAGGGAUUACUCUGAUGGGAGGAAGAGUUGAGAAGACGAGAGAGGUUCCAGAUGAAACAGAACUGCCCGAGUCACCCCCACACCCAGCAAUCGAGCUUUGUUCUGGGGUGCUGAAACUCUCAGGAGCAACACUAUUCCAAACAGAGUACUCACACGUCAGCACACCCUGAGCAUGCUUAUCACCAAAACCAUCUCUCGCUUGGUUUUGUGCUCCUGGGAAACAUUGUCAAGACAGGCACAGACUGACAUCAGCAGGUCAUCCAGAGGGCCCCGUGCCAGCUCCCUGUCCGUUUGAUAUAUUGGGGCUUUGCCUGAACACAGGCUUCGGGAACAGGGUAUGUCAUCAAAUCCACCUGGAUAAACUCCCUGAGCUAACCCAGAGAUUCCACGUCAGUCUCCUCAACACAGUUAAUGUGAGUUUUAUUUCCCUACAUUUCUUCCCCCUGGGGCAUCUUUGAAUUGCACGUGAAGGCAGCAGGACCAAGUGCUCAGAACCCUGCAGAGAAGUCAACAGUAAACCCUAACCUUGUAUGGUCCGAAGCAAGGGAAAUGACUUGCAGACCUCUGGGCAGUGACUGCCCAGAUACAAAUUAUUCUGAUGGCAGGAGCUCAGAGUGUGUCCUAAACCAAGGAGGGUUGCUAAUUGAACAGUGAUGCUCAGCAGAUGGACCAGAGCCCAGAGAACAGUCUAGGCCAGUCUCAGUCCUUGGGGUCUUCAAAUCCCCAGCCCAUAGGGAAGGGCUCUUUCCACCCCAAUACAAAGACAGUGAACAGAGAGAAUGGUACUGAUUUUUCUAAAUGGUAAUCCGCUGUGCCAACUGGAGACCUCACCCAGGGACUCAAGCAGUCAUCCUGCCCAUCAUUAUGGCUCGAAUAAAUCUAAAAGGGCCAUGGAAGGAUUGAUCAUUAAUAGGUUCAAACUUUGGUGACACUAUUGAGAGGUAAUAGAAGGAACAAGGCAAGGACUACCUAGUUGGAGUAGGUCAUUGGGAUCAUGUCCUCUGGCCCUUUCAGUCUCCACUCCAGUCAACACACAGCCCUGCUUUACUGGGUCCUCUCUGCCUUACCCUGGCGGGAAGCAAUUGAACUAUCCAGUCAUAGACUAUGGGCCAAGAUAAAUUCCUCCUCCUUUGGCUGUUCUCAGCACAUCCAUCCAGGUGGUCAAUGCCUCAGCUUGGAAGGUCUCUCCUUUAGACUCAGCACCAAGUGAUUCAAGGUGUCAACUGGCAAUUGGUUUAUUGUCUUUUGUAACUCGUACAAAUUUCCCUUUGCCCAUAUCAAGGGAGCUCAGUGUGAAGAUUCCCUUGCUCGUUCAUGGAAGAGCUCGUCCUGGAGUAGAUCUCUGAAAAUCAAAGGCAGGAGAGGGUUCGUCUUGAUGGCUGGGUGUCCUCAGCUGAUCUUUGUUAACGGUCCCCUCUCUCCCUCUCUGACUCUUGGGAAUCCUUCAGCAAGCUGUGUCCUCUUUCUAAGAAGGUGACAUUUCUAGAGGACGGGAGAGAGUGCCCAAGUUUGCUUAUGAUCAGGGCUGGUGUUCCUGCCACCCAUAUUUUGAUCCUUUCCCACUAGUCUUUCAGCUUCUUGGAUCUCCUACGGCCUGCAGCUUGUGUUUCCAUGUCCCUUCUUUCUUAACAUAUGCCUUGACUUGUUUUUCACAGUGUCUAUCAGGUUUCAGAAUCACAGAUGCAUCAGAGAAAUCAAGGAUAAAAUUAUUUAUAUGUUUGUCAUGCCUGCAUCUCUAUGAGGAGACCACAGAGCAUCAUCUAUUCUGCCCUUUGGGAUCCUUGGAGCUCUGUUUGUGUGGCCUUGGGAGUGAGGGACAGAAAUAGGUAUUAUCAAUCAUGUCUAGCCUAAUGGACAUAAAGAGACAUGUAUUUCAUGCUUUAAAUUUUUAAUCUGUAGAUGACAUAGAAGGAAGCAGGGAUACUUGGAGAAACGGCUUAAGUAGCUUUAUGUGGUUAAGUAGCUUUAUGUGGCCUUCCCUGUGCACAGUGUGUUGAACUGACACAAUAGCCUUCGUCACUGAGCAACCUUCACCCCAUGGGGAAAAUCUAGCUGAUCAGUGGGAAAGGACCCUGAACUUCUAAGGAAAACUGUAUACAGCCACUAAUGAGGAGGCUUAUAGAAAACCAAGGGCUCCAUCCAUGAAAGGCUGCUGGUUUAUCAGAAGAGGCUUGGGCUCUGGCCAACUGUCCCUGCAGGCAGCCAGACUGGUUAGCAUAUUUCAUGCUACAUGUGACAGCAUUUACCUGCUCAUGGGACAGGAGAGGAAGGGUUUCUCACCACCCAAAAGUCUUCCGCACUGAAACAACUGACUCUAAACUAGAUCAAGCCUUGUGAUAUCAGCUCCGUCCACAAGAACAGGAACUGAGAGUAAAGAGGAAAUUGUGUCACAGGAAAGGACACAGAUGUACCUCAAGCACGGGGCAAUCUCCUGGAUGCACAGCAAGGUUAUGCAUAAGUAAAGUCCUGCCAGACUGCACUUCAGAGGGAGAAGCUGUCCUAAAAUGCUUGUACUGAAAAAUGCCACCUGCUUCACUCCCAACUGUGGCUUUGAGGUUUUUCUGUGCCAUCAUCUCUGCCAGAGGUUUAACAUCUUCAUCUUAGAAGGAAAAUACACAUUGAAAGGAUUUUAUGAUGGAUCAUUUAAAAAGUAAAAAUAUGGAGCUACCUUGGUGGAUAAAGAAAGCACUUACUAAGCAAGUCCACAGAUCAUAGUUUGAAUUCCCAGUAUCCACAUGACAAAUUGUUUUCUUGGAAAAGAACCCUGCGUGUCUCUCAACUGUGCAGUCAAAAGAAUCAGCUCUCCCUUUCUCACAAGCCACUACGAGUGAGAGUUUUGUCAGUGCAGCAUGGCCCACUUGAUACUUACUAACAGUAAAACCGAGUGAGC